rnacentral:rRNA from 1 species
ACAAGCGGUGGAGCAUGUGGUUUAAUUCGACGCAACGCGAAGAACCUUACCAGGGCUUGACAUCCCCUGACCGCGUAUGAAAGUACGUUUUCACCUCGGGUGACAGGGAGACAGGUGGUGCAUGGUUGUCGUCAGCUCGUGUCGUGAGAUGUUGGGUUAAGUCCCGCAACGAGCGCAACCCCUAUUGUUAGUUGCCAUCAUUCAGUUGGGCACUCUAGCGAGACUGCCGGUAAUAAACCGGAGGAAGGUGGGGAUGACGUCAAAUCGUCAUGCCCCUUAUGACCUGGGCUACACACGUGCUACAAUGGUUGGUACAACGAGUUGCGAGUCGGUGACGGCGAGCUAAUCUCUUAAAGCCAAUCUCAGUUCGGAUUGUAGGCUGCAACUCGCCUACAUGAAGUCGGAAUCGCUAGUAAUCGCGGAUCAGCACGCCGCGGUGAAUACGUUCCCGGGCCUU